rnacentral:lncRNA from 1 species
CAGAGGGCCAUGAAUCCAGGGAGCUAAGUUAAGCUGCUCAUGACAGCGAAAUUGCACCAUAAUAUGAAGUACUUUCACGACACCGUCAUCGUGAAUAAAUAAAGAAGCUGAGUGAAGUCAGUCACUUGAUGGAGCCUUGUUUCAAUACCUAAAAACGAAUUAAGGAUGAAUAAUAUGUAGAAGAUGCAAGUUAAUGUAUGAAACAAUAAAGCAAUGAAUGAAUCGUCUAGUUUACGGUAUGUAUCUUUUGAAAGGAAAAGGGAACAGCGACAGAGCUUGUCACAGGCUUCAUCUUCUCUUUCAAAUUGCGAUAUGAUGAAUUAUCUAGAUGUAAGUGCAAUGAAGUGCUUGUCUAAUCUGUGAAAGUAGCUUCCAAGAGUUCCUGAAUUUCUUGCCUGCCUGUGAUUUUCUUCAUCGAGGAUGGAGAAGUAUCUGUCUCAUCUCUGUUUUCACCACGAAUUUUUCAUAUCUUAGCUUAUUUUGAAAACAAAUAGGUGUGGCUGUUUGGAAGGGAAUGAUUAAUAAGGCAAUCUGUAGCAUUCGUCGCUAAAGAGUAAAGAGUAUAAACUAUGAUAAAAAAAAAUUUCCAGUCCAAGAAAUCCUCCAGUAAAAUCGAAGCAACAUCCUUCCAUUGACAGUCAUAUAGUAUAAGGUGCAAGUUCAACAUCUUUGUGUUCUAACCAAAAUUGAGCUUGGUCAAUUGAGGACUUUCUAGCUUGAAGAAGUUAAUAACAGAAAAGAACUCUCGCAGAAAUGGCAGCAGACUUUCUUCGAAACCGAUAACAACUUGGCACAUAAUUGGCUUCACAUCAACCAAUACUAGUUAAACGAAGCAGAUAAAUUUUGCAUUGCAUUUGAGAGAAAUCAACCACAACAAAAAGAGGUUCUCAAUGUUUCAAGGGCAUGCUUUCUCAUUCAGUUCUGAUUUCAUAGAACAAAACCAAUGUCAAAAGAGCCAGACCAUUCCUUGCCAGAAAAUGGCCAAUGUGAAGUCCGUCUGGAUCUUAAACAGCAUAUACCCCAGCAUAAACGUGCAAGAGAAUGAAAGCAUCAUCCAACUGACCAUCCUUCGUUUACUUCUUUUUUUUCUUAUGACUGGACAGUAGACUCAUCUUGAUGUUCCUCUGUACGAGCAAGUCUUGGAUUAACGCGGUGAACCUGAGCCCAGCUGACAUGCAUCUAUCGUUGGAUGAAGCGCGCCGAGUGGAACCCACAUAAUCCUACGACGCAUGUAAGCCGGGCUAUAUUAUUUACAUACUUGAUGGUUGGACGCUUACGUUACACCCAAUUUUGCCACCGCACUUACGGAGAAAAUUGAGUGGGCAUUGCAAGAUGAUGUACCUAUCAGAUUCUGAUAGGGCCUAUAGUGGAUGACUUAAAACAUCUCUUUCGUCAACUCGCUAGGAUUAACUCAAUUGAGAUAACGCACCCUCAAUUACGUUGAUAUAGUGCCAAGUGAAUUGAUGACACUGCACAAGAUAUUAUGUUCAUAUCGAGCAUCAUUACACCCAAUUUUGCGACCGCGCUGACGGAGAAAAUUGAGUGGGCAUUGCAAGAUGAUGUACCUAUAACAUUUUUUUCAAUUGAAUCCUAAAUCUGUUCAUAUUUUGCUAAUUGAGUCUAUCCAGAAAGUAUUGAAGUGGACCGGCCAACAUGGCACGGUCGGUGUUGACAUGAAUGAUUGUUGGGAAAAUAUUUUUCGUUUAUUCAUUUUUAUAGCAAUACAAGCAAUCAUUUUUGAGAAUUUUUUUUUUCAAAUUCUCCAUUUUUCGUAAAAUAAACGGAGCCUAACACAAAGAAAAUGAGGAAUAAAUCCAGGUGACAGAGAAUAUCCUAAAAAAGGGGAAUAAAUGAAAUUAAAAUCUUUAUGCUUGUCACGCGCGAAUUUAGAAUAAGGUGGAGUGACAACGUGGGUAAUCUUUGCGAGAUAUAUAAUUGCGUAAUCAGAAAAAGCAAAACAUGCGUUAUUCCUAAUCCGUUCAUAAGCAUGGGCAAACGGAAGCUACUGAUACCUGGUGGAGCGACAAAGAGGACAUGACUCCCUCCUCUCCGGCCACUUGCCGAUGCACUCUGCAUGGAAGACAUGCUCCCAAUUCGUCCGAGCGGCCAUAGACUCGGCUCAGAGCUCCUCACGACAGAUCAAAGGAGCCCUUUCAAUGCCAAUCUUGCGCCGUAAUUCCCCAUCCAGCAAGUUCGAAGGCCAUCAUGUCGUCCAACGGCAUCACUGCCCGCAACGAGGACUCGGAGACCCGUGGUGACGUAGGAUAUAUAUAAUAUAUAUAUUGAUCUUAAUUUGUCAAAUGUGAUAUUGAUUUUGUAAAAUCAUUAUCUGUUUUGUAUGUCAUAAUAGACAUCCAUAAAUAUGCGGAUACUUACAAAACAAAACAUGUGGAAGAAGAAGAGAUGCUAAAUUAGAGAGUACUAGGAUUAGAGAUUUGCUAAAAUGACUAUGAAAAAUAAUUUGCAGAGUAAAGCUCGCGUGGGAACAGGGAACAAUGGAACAUGGCUCGGUGUGACAAGAAAUUUAUCCACAUUAAUAUGCUUUGAAGUGCUUUGCUGCAAUCGAAUAAUGUCCAACGAAGUCACCCAUGUUUAUCCCAAUAUUCAAUUUCUGUUCCCCGAAGAAGAUUAUGCUCUACCUCUUCAGGAAAAAAUUAUUAAAAACAGUAUAGUUUAAAGAGAACACUUAGAAAACUUCGUAAUGAUGCAUACAUACGCAUCUCGUUUUCCUAGGUAAGAUCAUUCUACUGCAAAGAGAGAUGCAUUUCAGCGUGUGCAAUUGUAAUACAGGGUAAUAUUUCUUAAUCAUCUCGAAAUUUGAAAUAAAAUAUAUUUCUUUUGUUAUAUGGAUGGAAAAGCAAAAAGAGGACAAUAAAGAAGACAAUAACUUGAGCGAGGGAGAGUCGCAAGGGGUCAUGGAGGUGAUGUUCCUUUAAUUAGCGAGCCGCAAAAUAACGUUCCUAGCUCGGCACCUGAACUAAUAAUGGAUUACCUUGUUAAUUGUCUUAGUCCAAUUGUGAUUGACUUGCCUUUGAGCAGAUCGAUAAGGUAACUAAACCUGACCUAAAUCACCAUCACUACAUUGUGAAGGCUUUAUUAGUAUUUGGCUUAAGGCCCGUCCGCCCAAGUUGGGCCGAGAAAGCCCGGCCCACGGGAAUAGGGCCCGUGGAAGGAGAGAGGUAUAAAAGGGAGGAGAAAGAGAGAAAAUAACAACGUUUUGUUUAAAAGAAAAAGGACGUACGUACUCUCCCUCUCUGUCGUUUUCUCCAAAAGCAAAACAGUGAAGCGCCAAGGCCAAUUUGCUUCAUCGGAUCGAACAGGACCAAGUUUCUCUUCCUCUAACGGCGUCGGUGUUUAAUCUGUGGCUAAAAGGUACGCUCGAAUCUGUGGUGUGCUUUAGGAUCGGUGAUACGUGUUGUUUAUCCCGGGCUCGUCUUCCGCAUUGAUUUAGGGGUUCGAUUUAGUGUCGAAUCCGUUUUUCGGGGAUCAGUCAUUCCCAACAUUGGUAUCAGAGCCUUAGUUCACGUUUUCCCGACUUGUUUGACGAUUUUUGAUUGAUUUUUCGCAAAAGCAAUUCGGCCGUACGAAUCGGGGCGAGAAAUCUCGACACCCGAGCGUUCUUCGGCCAAUUUUCUGAGUUUUCGUAAGUCGAAAUCGUUUUCUGAAUACAUGGGGAGAAAGGCAACGUCGAGACGAGUCUGGAGAUACGUCGUGCGCCGCCGGGCGACGCCCCACGCGCCCACACGCACGGCCAGAAGCCGCUGCGCGUGGGCGUGACGCGCCCGGAAGCGCUGGCUCGCCCAGCGCGUGCGGCACACGCGUCGGUCGGCGAACCGGCGCGUGCGCACUGCCGGCCAGCGAACCGGCACGCGCCGGUCCGCGGACCGACGCGUGCUGACGUCAUCGAUGACGUCAGCACGACGACGUUUCGCCGGGGCGACCACCGGCCGACGACCCGACCCGACCCGACCCGACCCGACCGCGGAGACCCAGCACGUGCGCGGCGCGUGCCGGCUGAUGUCUGCGUGACGUCAGCCCGCGCAUGCGCGCGGCACGUGCCGUCGGUUCGCCCGAGCCGGCCCCACCAGCCCGACUGGUCCGACUGGUCCGACGACCGUUGACGACCGUUGACCACCGUUGACUGUUGACGACCGUUGACCGACGACCGUUGACCGUUGACCCAAAAAAAAAAAGAAGAAGGAAAAGAAUGUGUUUCUUUUUCAAUUAAGUCUAUUUGGAUUAUAAUGUGAUCCCUUAUUUGUUCUGCAUUUGUUGCAGGAACAAUGCCUCCCCUGAGGUUGCGCACACCUAUUCGCGCAGUUACCGAUGAACAAAAGAAUAGGCUGUCUAAGUUGAUGGCUGAGCUGACUGAUCAUCGAUGGGAGAGAGGUGACUUAAUUGAUCAUGUCCUUGAAGUCAACGGGAAGAUUCAACAGGUCAUAUGGAAUGGUCGUCCUAUGUCACAGUCAGAGAUGGUGCGAUUUUUCAUAAACACUCUUCCACUUGAAUGGCAAGAUGUGUUGAAUCGCAUAUGGGAUGUCAACGGAGCUGCUUCCUAUAAGAAAAUUGUGAUGGAUUUUGUAAAUGAAUAUUACUGUAUUGUUUCAAGGGAAAAGAUCAAGAAAUUGAACAAAAGAGGAUCUUUCCUAGUUCGUGUGCUGACUUGGUGUUAGUUGUAUUGGCUGAUAUAUGUUAAGUGUGAUUUGUGGACAUAUUAUGUAAUGAUUACUACCUAAUUGUGUUAAUUGAAAGCAUUGUUGUUUUAUUGGAUGUCUAUUAUAUAUUGCUUUCUGUUAUUGCUGGUUGCUGUGGGUAAUUAGCUGUGGGUAGUUUUAGAAGUUUUUGUAGCUUCAUAGAAUUGAUUUUGCAUAAGACAAUUAUAUUGAUGAUAGUUUUAAGUUAGGAUUUUGGAGGAUGAUUGGAAACAUAGUGACAUUUUGAUUCUGAAACAUUACUUGAAAUUAUUCAUUAAUAUGAUGGGUCUAUGUAAAUAGGGAUGCAUAAAUGAUAGGCAUUAAUAAUUCGUGCAUAUUUGUCUGAUUUGUUCAGAUCAAUGGCUUCAGCCACAAAGAGCAUAGUUGCUGAGCUGAACAAAGGUGAAAAGCUCAAUGGUGACAACUAUGAAAUUUGGCAAAUGAAAAUCCAGUAUGUGCUGGAAGAGCAAGAAGCACUUGAGGCUCUCAACCUGACCAUGGUAGAACCUGAAGAGGGAACCGCUGCACAGCACAAAAGAGACAAAGAAGCUUUUUCUUCGUGGAAAAGAAAGAACUCUCUAGCUCGCAUCACGUUGCUGAGCAGCAUGGAAAAUGACGUCAUGCGAGAGUUUCGGCGUUUUGACAAUGCCAAGGAAAUGUGGGAGGCAUUGGCAGCUAGAUUUGGUCAUACUUCGGUGACUAGACUGAGGCAGCUCACUAUCAGGUUUGACUCUUAUAAGAAGCCUCAUGGUCAGACCAUGAAGCAACAUCUUAGAAAGAUGUCAAACAUGAUAACUGAGCUGAAAGAUGCUGGCCAUGUCCUCACAGAUGAGCAGCAAGUGCAAGCAGUGAUUCGUUCCUUGCCUCAGAGUUGGGAGCAUAUGAAGGUGCACCUGACUCAUAAUGAAAAUAUCAAAACCUUUGAGGAUGCAAUGCGUCAUCUUGAGCUGGAAGAGGACCGCCUGUUGGCGGCUAAGCCGGAUGCUGAACUCUAUCAUGCAAGUUCUAGCUCAAAUGGAGCUUCGAGCUCCAAGCGCAAGCGCCCUAACUGGUUUGAUAAGGGGAAAGGCAAGGAAGAAGUAGGUCCUUCAAGGAAGAAACCCAAGUUUAACCAACAUGACAGAGGGAAGCGUCCUCGCAUGAAAAAGCUUGCAAGGGUGAAAUGCUACAACUGUGACAAGAAGGGUCACUAUGCUCGCGACUGUCGUGAACCAAAGAAGGUAUGCACCCCUUGUACUUUUCAGAACUAUGCUUUUGUGUCGAGUUCUGUGUUCUUAACUGAGUCUAAUCCUUUGUGGACUGUGGAUUCAGGAGCGACGGACCAUGUAGCGAAGGAUAGAGGAUCCUUCGUGGAAUUCCGAUGAGUACCAACUGGAACUAAGUGGAUCUAUGUGGGAAACAAUUCCAGAGCUGAAGUGAAAGGAAUUGGCACAUGCCAACUGAAUAUGCGUGGUGGACGCACUUUGUUCCUUCAUGAUGUAUUGUAUGCUCCAGAGAUUCGUCGGAAUUUAGUGUCUGUAUUAGUGUUGGUUAAAUUAGGUUUUAAUAUGAACUUCUAUAGUAGAUGUGUGAAUUUGUUUUUGGAUACAAAUUACUAUGGUUGUGGUUAUUUUCUAGAUGGUUUUAUUGUAUUAGAUAUUGAUUAUGUUAAUGAUAAUGUUUGGUAUUCCCUUCUCACGUCUCCUAAUAAAUAUGAUAAUGAUGUGAAUGUGUGGCAUGCUAGACUUGGUUACAUUGGCCAACAGCGUAUGAAUAGACUAGCCAAAGAGGGCUUGUUGGGCAAUAUUGAAAAAGUCGAUUUGUCCAUAUGUAAGUAUUGCCUAGAAGGGAAAACGACAAGGAAACCAUUUGGAAAAGGAAAAAGAGCUGAAUUUCCUCUGCAUUUAAUCCAUUCUGAUGUCUGUGGUCCAAUGAAUGUGAAAGGAAGGCAUGAGGCUGUUUAUUUCAUCACUUUUAUUGAUGAUUAUACUCGAUUCGGAUAUGUCUAUUUGAUUUCUCAUAAAUCUGAAACAAUAAGUUGUUUUAAAAGGUUUAUGAACCUGGUAGAGAAUCAAUUAGACAAGAAAAUAAAAGCAUUGAGAUCCAAUUGAGGUCGAGAAUAUUUAUCUGAUGAGUUCAGAAAAUUAUGUGAUGAAAAAGGAAUAGAAAGACAGUUGUCUAUUCCAUAUACUCCUCAACAAAAUGGUAUUGCGGAGAGAAGAAACAAAACCCUACUGGAAAUGGUUAGGUCCAUGAUGGCGCAUGCUAACUUACCUAUUACUUUUUGGAGUGAUGCGUUGUUAACUGCUGCCUAUAUACUUAACCGUGUGCCUUCCAAAUCAGUUACUUCCACUCCAUAUGAGUUAUGGACGGGUAGAAAACCGGACUUAAGUUUUCUUAAGCCAUGGGGUUGUGCCGCCUAUACACAUGAGUCCUCUCACAAAUUUGGGAAAUUGGGUCCCAGAGGAAAGAAGAGUAUUUUCAUAAGGUACUCUGAACACUCGAAAGGAUAUGUGUUCAUAGGUGAGCAGGAAAGUGGGAGUAUAACUGAGUUUGAAUCACGAGAUGUCACAUUCCUAGAGAACGAAUUUCCUAAGAAGGGCGAAAUAGGGGAAGAUCGUUCCCUAUUUGAGACCUUGGAUCAGGAUAAUGAUGUUAGUGGAGUUCGUCCAAGUGGGAGUAAUAUGAGAAGUGAUGAAUUGAAUUCAACUCAUUCUCAAUUGCAACCACAUGAUGAGACGACAUCAUCAUUACCUAAUCCAAGUGGGAGCAUGAUGGGGGAUGAUGUGCAAAGUGUAUAAUCUCCCAUACGGCGAACAAGUCGCCAAAGUAUUCCCCGUCGACGUUUUGACAUUGAAGGGGAAACUUUUAUGAUUGCUCCACAAGAUGAGGAUGAGUCAAGAAAUAUUAAUGAGGCUUUGAAUUGCCCUAGUAAGGAAAAAUGGAUUAAUGCAAUGGAAGAGGAAAUGGAGUCAAUGAAAUCAAACCAAGUCUGGGAACUGGUUGAUCUGCCAAAAGGACGCAGAGCUAUUGGGAACAAAUGGGUUCUCAAAAUAAAGCGAAAGGCUGAUGGCUCGAUAGAAAGGCAUAAGGCUCGCCUUGUGGCGAAGGGGUAUAAUCAACAGGAAGGAAUUGAUUAUGAAGAUACGUUUUCUCCUGUAGUAAGAUUUACCUCGAUUCGCAUUAUUCUGGUAAUAGUGGCUAGUCUGGAUCUUGAGUUACAUCAAAUGGAUGUAAAGACUGCUUUCCUCAAUGGAGAAUUAGAGGAAGAAAUAUAUAUGGAACAACCUGCUGGUUUCAUAGUGAAAGGCCAAGAAAAAAAAGUAUGUCGACUUUUGAGGUCGAUAUAUGGUCUUAAGCAGUCAUCAAGACAAUGGUAUAUAGGUUUUCAUAAUGUCAUAAUGGCAUAUGAUUUUACGAUGAUUGAUGAGGAUCAUUGUGUAUAUAUCAAAAGAUCCAAGGAUCAAUUUGUGAUCAUAUCAUUAUAUGUUGAUGAUAUACUAAUUGCUGGAAGCAAUAUGGAGUUUGUUAAGACUGUCAAGAGUUGGUUGUUUUCCAACUUUGAGAUGAAGGACAUGGGUGAGGCUGCAUACAUUCUUGGAGUUAAGAUUUCAAGAGAUCGUUCGAAGAGAUCAUUGUCUCUUUCGCAAGAAACCUAUAUAAAUAAGGUUCUUGAACGAUUUCGUAUGCAAGAUUGUAAACCCAUAGACACUCCUAUUGCAAAAGGUGAAGGAUUGAGCCAUAGACUGUGUCCAAGGACUCCACAAGAGAAGGAACAAAUGAAACAUGUUCCUUAUGCAAGUGCUGUUGGGAGCUUGAUGUACGCUAUGAUGUGUACAAGACCCGACAUAUGUUUUGCAGUUGGAAUGGUGAGUAGAUACCAAUCCAAUCCAGGUCCAGCACAUUGGAAAGCCGUUAAGAGAGUACUGAGGUAUCUGAAGGGAACUGCUGAUUAUUACAAGUUGAAUUAUCAAGGAAAGGAUCUGCGACUUGAAGGCUAUUCAGAUGCUGAUUGGGGGGAGAUUUAGAUGAAAGGAAAUCUACCUCAGGAUUUGCUUUCUUACUGAGCAAUGGCGCCAUAUCAUGGAGUAGUAAGAAGCAAACGUGCAUAGCCUUAUCCACGAUGGAAGCUGAGUUCGUGGCAUUAUCAGCAGCAGUACAAGAAGCAGUUUGGCUUAAGAGAUUCUUGGAUCAUUUAGGUGUUAUUGAGAAAGCUGCAAAUCAAUUAUUGGUUAACUGUGAUAGCCAAGCAGCUAUAGCAUACACCAAAGAUCCAAAGUAUCAUGGCAAGACCAAACAUAUAGAUACAAAGUAUAACUUUGUAAAAGAUAUGGUUGCACGAAAAAAUGUGAACUUACAGUACAUAUCUACGCAUAGAAUGGUAGCAGAUCCUAUGACAAAACCAAUACCUAGAGAUGUGUUUUGUGGUCAUGUAAUAUCUCUAGGAUUGCGUAGAGUAUGAUAUACUGGAUUGUAAUUUCCUUGAGUUGUUCACAUUUAUGAACUAGUGUUGUUUCAUUAUUAAUGCCUAUGAAUCUUUGUUUGAUCUUUAUGCAUCUUAAUGCUCAGUGUAUUACUUUAUGUUGAGAAAGUAUGUCGGACAGAUAAAAGAUUAGCCCACUCACACGGGUAAUCGUCUCUAUUUACUGUGUGAUAAAUAGAGAUGAGACUGUUUUUAAGCUUAUUAUCUAGGUGAUAAUCGAGAGCUCAAGCUUAAAAUACGAAUGUCGCCUUAACUGAGUGUUAAGAUGAGGACAUAAUACUUACUAUGUCCAAAAGUAAAAUACCCCACAUGUUUUACUUUAUCUGUCUAAGAUGCCAGAUGUGAGUUCUGAUGAAUUUUGUAAAUGAGUAGAUACGUGAACUCAAGUUAGACAUUCAGGAUGUCUGAACUAUCAUCUGUACGGUAUUGAAAGGUGUAGACAUACGCUCCAUGGGAAAAGGAGUUAAUAUCGUAAUACGUAUUUCAUACUACGUAUGCAUGAGCCGACCAAGAAAGAGUGGCAAAAAGUUUUGAUCUCAACUUUUAUGACGUGUGAGACUCUUGAGGAAAAGAGUUCCUCAAUUUAAGUGCCCUCAUGACUUUUACUUAUUCUCAAGGUUUCUAUUUAGUGUUUGCUAUCUUAGGAUGUUGCCAAUGGUCAUGAGUUGAUUCGAUCUAAUGGGACAUUUCUAGAAAAGCAAGCUGAACUGAAAUUGAGAGUUUGAAGGAAAGAGGAAGAUCGAUUUUGGAGAAUCACAUUGUAGUUUUUGUAUUCACUGGUCGACCAAUUAUGAUUGUCUUUGUGAUAACUGUAAUUGUGAAUAUAAUAUAUAUAUAUAUAUAUAUAUAUAUAUAUAUAUAUAUAUCAUGUUUGAAAGAGAUCAAGAGAGAUAUAAAAUGUGAUCGAUCGAUCUAGGGUACUGCAUACUAAAUCUACUCAGAGUGUGACGCCCAUUAUGAGCUGCUAUAUAUUCCUAACAGAUGUAUAGCAACGAGCUCUCAAAGUAUGCUGGUCGCACGGAUCAUUCACCGGUAUGAAUGUUGAAAAGAGGUAAAGAGAAUCCUGUUCGGCCCACCAUGUGCGAGUGGGAGAUGAAGGCUUUAUUAGUAUUUGGCUUAAGGCCCGUCCGCCCAAGUUGGGCCGAGAAAGCCCGGCCCACGGGAAUAGGGCCCGUGGAAGGAGAGAGGUAUAAAAGGGAGGAGAAAGAGAGAAAAUAACAACGUUUUGUUUAAAAGAAAAAGGACGUACGUACUCUCCCUCUCUGUCGUUUUCUCCAAAAGCAAAACAGUGAAGCGCCAAGGCCAAUUUGCUUCAUCGGAUCGAACAGGACCAAGUUUCUCUUCCUCUAACGGCGUCGGUGUUUAAUCUGUGGCUAAAAGGUACGCUCGAAUCCGUGGUGUGCUUUAGGAUCGGUGAUACGUGUUGUUUAUCCCGGGCUCGUCUUCCGCAUUGAUUUAGGGGUUCGAUUUAGUGUCGAAUCCGUUUUUCGGGGAUCAGUCAUUCCCAACACAUUGCAACACAAGAAAGCGUGAAAAGUAUCGAGUCGGAUGGCGAGAGUGGUGGCUGGUGCCCUUUUCAAAUGACCUUGUCUUUUAACUUGUGGGAACUUUCUUAUGAAUCAUGUAUAGAUUCGGCAUCCCUCGCAAGACCAGCAUUAUAGUUGAACAGAUAAAAUUUCAAGCUUAAGGCACGAGCUAGAUGAGUCAAUAUCUCAAGUUCAAAACCCGAUUCGGCAUAAUAUUGUAUGGCUCUCGGUUGAGAAUAAUUUAUUCCUUAAUAGUAAGUCUAGAUGGCUUUUUUUUUACUAGAUCCAAGUGAACAGCUCUAAAAUAUCAUCUCACUGCAUCAUGACCCACGUUCCGAUAGCUUCGUGGCUCCAAAUUUGUAUUUCUAACAUUUAGCUGGUAAAGUUUUUUUAAUAAAUGCAUCUAAUAGUGGAAAUUCCAACACAAUAAAAUAUCUUAUUAACAUGAAAACUGAUCCUGCAAAAUCAUUCAAAUCACAUGUCAAGGAUUCGACCUAUACCCUCACUAACAAGUGUCCAAUUUUGUGAUCUAGGUUGGCUCUAUCAUGCUUAAGUCAGUAAAAUAUGAGAGAGAGAGAGAGAGAGAGAGAGAGAGAGAGAGAGAGAGAGAGAGGGGGGGGGGGUUGGCAUUUGAAAGGGCAAGAGAGAGAAGUUGGAAAGGGAUUCGGGUCAAAACUGAAGGCUUUGUGAUGACAAAGUGUGGAAAAUUUCAAGAGAAAAUGACAAAUGGACCACUUCUCUUUCUAUCAUGUUUUCAACGUGUGUCGCAAUACCAUUUAGAUUUAUGAGGAUUAAUUGAGGUUGGCACUUGAAAGGGCAAGAGAGAGAAGUUGGAAAGGGAUCGGGUCAAAAUUGAAGGCUUUGUGAUGACAAAGUGUGGAAAAUUUCAAGGGAAAAUGACAAAUGGGCCACUUCUCUUUCUAUCAUGAUUUCAACAUGUGUCGCAAUACCAUUUGGAUUUAUGAGGAUUAAUUGAGUGAAAAAAAUAAAAUCAAAUACUCCGUACAGUUAAAAAAGAAGUAAGAAGAAUCAACUCCAUGUGACUUUCAUCUUUUAAUUCAUACUUUAAUCUAAUUUUUUGCGAUUAAGAUCUUCUUAAAAAAUUAAUUCUUAAAUAUGAUACUUUUGUCAAUAGAGCUAAUAGUUCCUCGUGUUAUAUCAUAUCCAGGUUAAUUCAAAUAUGAUACUUUCAUCAAAUGUGUCAAAACCAGGGAAGAUCCUAUACAAUAAUCCGUCAUUUGACAAGUUCAAGGAAAUGAUCUCACAUAAAACGUGUAAAAAAAAAUGUAUCUUAGCAUAUAUUUAUAUGCCUAAACGAGAGGGUCACUUCGCUAUGGGUAUUAAGAUGCAGACCUGUUUGUAACAAAAACGCGAUUGAUCUUUAACUCAACACGCGUAAUUAACUACAUCUUGUGUAUUUGCGUAAAAUGGUCAUAUCGAAAAUUGUUAACCUUACAUCUCAAUAUACCUAAACAAGAACCCAUAUAAAACGUGGAUGAUAUUAUAAUAUAUAUGUUCCAAUUCGUAGCGAGGUUUUAAUGAUUUUCCUUGUAAUAAAUUAAGGGCAACUGUAAACUCAAUAGUCAUGAGGAGAAGACAAAUUCCAUGACUUAUAAAUUCUGAACUUCGCAUUUUUUUUUCUGGCUGUAGAAAAUGAAAAUAAUCUAUGAUUUUAAUUCAAAUACUGUACGAUAAAUUGUUGAUGGAUCAUAUACUUUUAUGCAUUUUCGUGCAUAGCCUAAACAUGAUUCUACUAUCUUCUCCAAUAGGAGAAUUUAUUAGAGUAUUAUCCAUCAAGAAUAGGUAUGCCAAUGGUAAGUCAAAUUCACAAUCGCUUUUUUCAUUGGCGAGAGUAGUAUCCUUUCGAAAUAAAUCCAAUGGAAAUGAGGAAUAAAUCCACGUGAUAGAGAAUAUCCCAAAAAUAAGGAGAAUAAAUGAAAUUAAAAUCUAUAACAUUGUCACAAGCGAAUUUAGAAUCACUUGGUAGAGUGACAACGUGGGCUAAUCUAUUUGAUAAUGACAUAAGAGGCCUACAUCUCAUCAUAGCAUAGCUUAACUUGUAGUAGACGGUCCAGACAGCUUGCAAUUACACUUCUUCUUUUUUAUGGCAUUUGUUUGCAGUGACUUUGAAGUCAAUUGAAUUUGGCAUUUGUAGGUGAUGGAUCUUUUUUGAUAAUGACAUAAGUGGACUACAUUUCAUUGGCCUAUUUUCAUUAUCUCUACUUCUUCGGGAAAAGAUAGAUGAGAACAACAUUUUCAAAGAUGCAUAUUCGUAUUUUUUAAUUUAUUUAUCAGCAAGCCUAUAUAUUAACGUGCACAAUUGAGGACAAGGAAAUUAUAAUUACUAAUAAUUAUAUAUGAUACUCACUUUAAUAUUAAAUUUCUUUACUGGUUUACUUAAAUGUCCAAUAAAUAAAUAAAAACCAGUUAAGUCCGACGAAAAUUUUGAGUAAAAGAAAUUAUAUGAUUUUUAUAAUUAAAAUUUUUAUCUGAGAUGACUUCUUUUAAAAUACAAACCAGUCAACGCGUGCAGAUUAUUGUGUAAAAUGAGGACGUUCCUGUUCACCAUCGUCUCCAUCGCCGGCCAUGGAGCCACCCCCAACCAUGCCGAGCACCGCCACCUCCUCCACUACCUUGACAAGUUGGCGGCUGCGGCGAGAGCAUUGACAUCGACCCAUCCAUCUCUUUCGAGAACCCUUGCCUUCGCGAUGCCUUCGUCGCCCCAUUCCCUGAAGCAGGCCAUCAUCUCCAACCCCAACGACUUCACCGCCAACUGGGUUGGCCCCUUUGUCUGAGAUUUCACAUCAGCACCCGCCAUUGCUUGCUUUCCGUUACCGGUCACCAGAGUCGCGAGGUUUGUCAUCGAGAGAACCACAAUAGAGAGCCCCCAUAUAUGCACCUCUGACCUCGCCGAAAAAAUAAUCCUCUCUAGAGGAGUUUGAGAAGUUUCAUCAUUGGCAAUCCUUCUUUGUCACUUUCUGAAUCUCAUAGCCAUCGCUGAUUGAGCUGUUCACUGCCUCCAAGUCUUGCCGACUACGCCUCUGUUGUACCCAAAUUUUCUGCUUAGAGCGACUGAGGUGCUUUGCGUUUGCCUAAUCCUUCUUCGUCGGUGCCGAUCACCAUCGCCGAUGCCUCUAGGACAUCAGCUCUCUAGUUUGAUCGCUGUUUAUGAUCAACAAUCGCACCUUCAAGGCCAUAUCCGCCACCGCACAUAAGUCCUCUGUUCUGCCCUGCUUCUUUGCCAAGGACUGUGAAGUGCCUCAGGCUGGUUCAUUCGCCCCCCGCUGGUUCAAUAUCUGUCUUCCACACUUCCAGGAGUUUCUUUUUCCAACUUGAUUACCAACUGCAACUAGGAUUUGGUUCAUUGACAAGAUAAUAAUUCGCCCUCAAAUCUGAUAAGCAAGAGAACGAGACAGUGAUUUAAGGUUUCGAUUUUGGGGUGAAACACAUGACGGCGUUGUUUUGGGCUAUAUGCUCUAAUUAGGUGUCCCGGCGAGCCACAUCAUACGGAGAAAUUAUUAAAAAAUGGCCACAUCAAAUUUCUUGGUUAUGAUAAUACUAAAGUGAUCUGAAAAAAAAAAAAGAAUAGACUAAAGUGAGUAUUAUAUAUAACUUUGGAGACUUAUAGUGCCAUUCCCUCACACAAUUGUAAUAGAAGGGGCCUCUACAAUUUUUCAUAUAAUUAAAAAUAUUAAACAAUUUUUUUUUUUUUUUACAAGAAGAAAGAUGUGGAUAAAGCAAACAUAAUUUCUCACGUGGUAAUCGGCGUUGACUUUGGCUUUGUGAGAGGCGGUGAAAGCUCCUAGCUCAGCACGAUCUCCAGGAACUUGUGUAUCACGAAAAAAAUAAAAAAAUUGAAGAGGUGAUCGUAGUAAUUGCAAUAAUUAUUCUCGGACGUCAAGAUCGGUGCACCGACUCCUUUUCACUCGCCAGGUAUUCCGCGUGGACUCUGGUCUUCCCAGCCGGGACAAAAGAUCGAAGUUGACUGGAACAUGACAACUCGCCAGCGCUCGGGCACAUUAAUCUCAGUGGACCAACCCGGGAUUCGCCCCAGUGGCCACUCUUCCAACAUGGAAGGGGGAGGUGAGAGGUUCAAAUCCCCACAUUCUCGGGGGGAAUGGGGGUGGGGACAUGUAAGUUUCAGGAGUAGGUUUCGACUCCUACGCCCUGCAAAAGGCAGGGCAAAAGUUUGAGAGUAAGUGUAGAGUAGGAAUAGAGUAGGAUUGACUAAAAAAAAAAAAAUCUCAGUGGACCAGAAAAUUCCUUUUUGUCGAUGAUUCAGCCGAUGGAUAUGAGCCCUCCAUGCUAGGGUUAUGCAUGAGAACCGGGAUCCGCCCAAACCGUUCAGAACCGAAAAAAAAAAAAAAAAAAGCCCAUUAGCAUAAGACAAGUCUGUUUUAUAGAUGUAAUUUGAUAUCUUAUGAACGUGACUUCUCCUUUAAAAAGAGCAUCACUGUAUACAAGGAAAUACUGAGGAAGGGAAUCGUACUUCGAAAGGCAAGAAAAUCAAGUUCACCUGAUAUUAUUAUUAAGAAAGUGGGAUCACAAACUAUUCAUGCUUUAACAAGGUACCGAUAAGAAAUUAAUGUUGCUUUUGCUCGGCGAGGGGCUGGCAAAAAAUCCUAGCUCGGCACGAUCGCAAAGAAUCCUAAUCAAUAAAACAAAUCGUGAAUGGCUUGUCUUUGAACAUGAGCGAAACGGUCAAAUUUGUCCGCCCACAAGUCCGACCUAAACUAUCGUUUGAAUGUUACACGAGGAAAGUUCUUGCAAUAAUUAUUAUCGGAUAGGAAAAAGAAACGAGUGGACUCAGUCUUCCCAAACCGGGACGAAAGAUCAAAGUCGAUUUGGAUGUCACAACUUGCAAGGGCUCGGAGACAGCCAUCCUUUCCCGGAACAACUUUUCAAUUUNNNNNNNNNNNNNNNNNNNNNNNNNNNNNNNNNNNNNNNNNNNNNNNNNNNNNNNNNNNNNNNNNNNNNNNNNNNNNNNNNNNNNNNNNNNNNNNNNNNNACCGAACCGUUAGAGAAAUUUUCCGAACCGAACCGAAUAAGUCCCGAACCGAACCGAACCGAACCGAACACGGUUCGGUUCGGUUUUUCGGUUUUCAAAUUUUGGGUUUCGGUUUUCGGUUUUCGGUUUUUUUUUUUUUUUUUUUUUCCGGGACGGCUUACCUUCUAUAUAAGCUCCUUGAAGCAUUGAUUGAUGUUCUCUCUAGUUUUUGUGCUAUAUUCAAGAAACGAACAUCUAUGUCUUUGAGCUAGAUCUCUUCCUUCUUCCCUUGUUACAACCCUUUCACUCUCCUGAAAUUAUCACAUCAUGAGAAGCAAGAUGACUUCUCUUCGAAGAGAAGUCAAGCAAGAAGAAACCAGGGAGGAUAAGAAGCGAUGAUGAGGACGGGAGCUCGGAAUGUUGUGUAAGAAUUCUUUGGAAGGAGGAUGGCGUCCUGAGAUGUGGUUUCUUUUGUGGGCUUGUCCCAGUUGAGCCUGGAAAUGGCUCGAGUUUUGCAUUGCUUCCAAUCUAGUUGGGUUUCAAAAGGAAGCGAAAGCUUCACUUUUGACUUUUUAGGUUUCAUGGGCAACUGGUCUGGAUCAAAAAUUGCCUUGCUUUAAGCUUUUCCAAUCUUAAUUUGUUCCUAGAAGGAAUAUUUGGUCCUACAUAUAGUGUGGCGAUUUUAAGUGUUUUUUUUUACACUAGUGAUUCAUAAAUACAGCCAUAAGCAUAUGAAAUCAUGAUAAAGUAUGCUAACAACUUAUCUUCUCAUCUGAAUGUUCUACUAGAGUCUUUAUGCCUCACAUCACAUUUCACUCAGCAAGUAUACCCAUUUAGUCUAGGAAAUUGUCCUUCUCCAAGGACAAGAGAAUCAAGACUUGCUGAGAUUUCAAAAAGAUGCUGUGUAGCAUCCCCAAUGUACAACAAAAAUCGGUGUUGACAAAGCUCUGAAAUAGGGAUUCUGUUCACCAAAGAAGAAGAGAAAAAGAAGAAGAAAGAAUCCCGGAUUAACAAGAACUCAAAGGAAACUAGUGCUUUUCAUCCAUAAAACAAGUAUCAUAGGGCAAUUAAUUAUUGCAAGAAUCCAAAUUAUAGUCAUGGCAAGGAGCAAAAGUAAAUCACAUUAGACAUCCAUUCAGUCACUUCUUUAACCCCACGAUGCUGAGACAAAGCGACAACAUAUAUCUCCGUUAUAUUACAACCGCUUCUUCUAUAUGAUUCAAACUACAGAGUUCUCCAAUGGCUCAAGGCCAUUCUGCCUCGGGAAUGGCAAGUUUCUCACGCAUCUCCACAGGAGUUGUGUGCACGCUAAGCCCAAUAACCACAAUGUUGCUCUUUUCUUUUGUAUACCCUGACCAAAACAAUUGAAAUAAAAUUAGUGAUCUCAACUUAGGAAUCUGAUGUCACAAUAUAUACUUUCCGCUUCUGUGUUUUCUAUUUGAAUCAUUGCUUGAAAAGGAAGAAAGUCACUCUCUAUGAACAUGCAGGAUUGUUUUAAGCUCAACAUAUCUAAGAAGAGAGGGAAAUAAGUAGUUCCACCUCAAAGGUGAAGAAAGGGGUACAUCACCAUAGGAACAGAAUAAAAUCCAAAUUGCUCAAACCUCAUACUAGAUUCUCAAGUUCAAUCAAAUCAUUAUGGUUUUAACCCAAUUUGGACAUCAAAACAUCAAGAGAAAUUACCUCUUUGAGCUUUCUUCGAGCUUAAAGACGACAUUCAAUCAUCAAGAGAAAUUGCUAUUGAAUUCAGGUCCAUGGUCGUAGAUGACAACUCUGCAUUAAAUUCACAAUGAAAAUAGGAAUUGAAAUAUCAAUUGUAAUAUUGAAAAAUAUAAAUAUUCCAUGGUUAUUUUUUUCUCACCUGACUCAAAAUUUUCAAGUUCUUCUAAGUUCUCCUCGAUCGAUUAUGAAAGUGGUGCAGAUCAUAGCCAAUCUUGAGUACAUAUAAGAGCUUCUACCAUCAGUGGGGUCAAAGAGCUACGAAAUAUAUCAAGUACUCGACCCCCGGUGCUGAAUGCAGACUCUGAUGCUACAGUGGAGAUGGGCACGGCCAAAAUAUCUCGAGCAAUAGAAGAUAAGAUAGGAUAUCUAGAAGAAUUGACUUUCCACCAAUUUAAUAUAUCAAAGGUGGAGCUAUACCGUUCACAUCCUUCUUCUAAAUACUUAUCUAAUUCAGAUUUUUCUUCCACAUAUUCUUGUCCCGUUUGGCUAAGAUACAUUGCAGUCAUAAUGUCCGCACCAACCACAGGAGACAUUGAAACGUUCACUGUCCUUGUCCCCUUUAAUCUCAUGUUGCUUUGAGGGCAUGUACCGGUGCGAUAUUGCUCAAAUAAUAACGUCAAAGAUUUUGUCACUCUAUCUCGCAAAGUUUCUGCCCGGUUGCCGUCAUACACUUUAUUAAUCAUCCAUUUCACAUACUCCAUCUUAUGUCGAGGGUCAAGUAUACAUGCAAUGAACCAUGUGAGAUUUAUGUUGUUCACAUUCCCAAAAUACUUAUUGAACUUGAUCUUCAUUCUCUUGGCCGUUUCUUGCAAACUCCUAUCCUCAUCCCCACAAUAUUUAUCAAUCAUCAUAUAAAUCCCAUAGACAUCUUUUGCCAUAUCAUUGCAAGUAACGUAAGAAGAGCCCGAUACUUUUAAAGUUGCAUCAUAAAACAACUUCAAGAAAGGAAGAAAUCGACGGGCAUAAUCCCAAUCAUCAUCAGUAGGCAACCCUCUCACAUUGGAAAGCUCUUCGGCAAAUCUUCUAUCCUGAAUAUCUAAUGAGAUGAAGGCAUUUCGAAACUUCAAAGCCACUUCCAACAUCAGGUAUGUUGAAUUCCACCGAGUCUCCACAUCCAAACAUACACGAUUAUUGGAAUCAAUAUUUUCCAGUAGAAUACACUCCUUAAACCGUUGCAAUCUCGACGGAGAAGAUCUCACAUAACGUACAGCCGAGCGUAUUCUAACAAUAGAAUCAUCUAUAUCUUUCAAACCUUCUCUUACAAUCAAACUGAAAAUAUGAGCACAACAUCUCACAUAGAGUAACUCACCUGAUAAUAUCAGAGCAUUCCAAGAGUUAAGUCUUUUCUUCAAGUAUUGAACUCCCGAGUCAUUGGAGCUAGCAUUAUCAACGGUGAUAGAAAAAAUGCCUUUGAUCCCCCAACUAGUUAAGCAUUUCUCAACUCCUUUCCCUAUAAUCUCAGCCGAAUGUCCUGGGAUUUGACAAAAAUUCAAAAUUUUCUUUUGCAACUUCCAAUCAGCGUCUACAAAGUGAGCAGUAAGACACAUGUAACUUAGAUUUUGACAUGAAGUCCACGUGUCAGUCGUAAGACAAACCCUUGGAGAAGUAUCGGAAAAAAUAUUUUUUCAAUUUGCUUCUUUCCUCCAAGUAUAACUUAUAACAGUCCUCCCUUAAUGUGUUUCUUGAAGGGAUUAAAAAAUUUGGCUGAAUUCUACUCACGAAUUUCCGAAAUGCCUCAAGUUCCACAAACUUGAAGGGUAGUUCACCAAUAAUAAACAUCGCCGCUAAAUCUUUUCGACUAGCAUCUUGAUCAAAUUUCCAAGAACCAGCUGAAAUAGAACUACUAACCCAACAGAUUCAUUCGAGGCACUUCUUUGCCUUUUCUCCACGUUCGCAUAUGGAUAAUUCUUACAUCUACUUAAAUGAUUAUGCAUCCCACUAGUCCCUUAAGUAGUAGAACAACCAAUAAUAGCCCCACAAUAUAGACAUUCGGCUUUAUCUUGGCUAUUUUCUAUCCUUUUGAAGUGUUCCCAUACAACAGAUCUCUGCCUCCUUCUAUUUGUACCGCUAGAUUCACUUACUAAAGAUUCGCUCAUUGUAUAUUUGGCUUUGCAAAUGAUGUUACUGCCUUGACAGGGAGAUCUACAAAUGGCUUAUCCUGAGUAGAAAGAAACCCUUUUUAAAUUCACAAGUUUGAAAAGUUGUCUAAAGUCAUCAAUAAAUUAGAUUAAGAAAAGCCAUGAGAAUAUAUAAAAACAAAAUUUAAAUUCUAGAGCUUGCUCUCCUACCGUUAUUAUCUUGAAACAAAGCAUGAAAUAUGCAUUACCCAGUUCAUGUUUACCCCAAGUCUUAUGUAAUGAUGGUUAACUAUUAAAAGAAUCCUGGGAAUUCUCUACUAAUGACGCAGUGACAUACCUACGCCAAAAUCCCAGCUGUCUGCUUCUCCUUCCACAUUCAAGCCUCCUGCACCCGUUUUGCCAGCUCUUGCUUCUUCAAAUCAGGAGGUGGACCAUCAAAUACGUAGCUAUCAUAACAACAGCAAAACAUAAUUCAGAGAAGCACGAGCUUCAUUCUUCUAGCAUUCUAUCCCAAUGAAAACACAUGAGGUCAAGAAAAAAUUGAAACAAAGCAUGAAAUAUGCAUUACCCAGUUCAUGUUUACCCCAAGUCUUAUGUAAUGAUGGUUAACCAUUAUAAGAAUCCUGGGAAUUCUCUACUAAUGACGCAAUGACAUACCUACGCCAAAAUCCCAGCUGUCUGCUUCUCCUUCCACAUUCAAGCCUCCUGCAAUGUAUAGAUAAAAAACAUAGCUUCGGUAUCAAGGAAGAAAGCAGCAGUUUUAGCACUAAUUUUAGCACUAACUCGUAAAAUAUCCUCAAGUUUUUUAAAUAAGAAAAGUUUAAAAAGUAAGAUAUAGCAUGCCAGUAUUUGGAAAGCCAAUAAGAUAAGAGAUUGAAAUAACAACGGAUUUGGCAGAUGAAUUGACCAAGUUGCUCCACACAAAUGGAUUUGGACUCCAACUGCAGCAUUACAUCAAAAUUAGCACCAUCAAACUCCAUCCUUCAAGCACCCGAAAUUGAAAAAUCCGGGUAAGACCCAUCACAGUCCCAUAACCAAUAUCCGUAUCCUCUAAUGGAAAUCCUAUCUCUUUAACAGGCUAGAACCCGCAACACAAGAGGACGCAGCAAAAGGCGAAAUGAUAAACCAGGCUAAACCCGAAAACAUGCGACCGGCAAGUAAACAGGGAUCCGGGUCACCGACUUGGAGACGUAUCGGGUGCAAUCAGGGCAAUGCCCUCCUUCGAAGCGGCGCGUUGAGCUUCGGAUUUCACAAUGAAAUUCUCGUCCGUGCAGGUGAGCCCAGACAGCCAGUACAGCACCUGCUCAUCCACACAACAGGCCAAGCAAUUAAGGAACGACAAUCGAGCCACGUCAAUUCCGCACGCCCCACGCCACGACGGACAUACGCGCGCAAACCCACUAUUUUUCAUCCGAAUCCUCGAAAGCGGGAAGGCUAAGACACGAACUUUCCUAAUCCGCGGACGAACGAAACGAAACCCUAAUAAGCCCGGGGGGGAGAGGGACCGAGAGAUGUGAGCAUUUCAUGAUCAUUCGGCCCGAUCGGGGAUGAAGGGAUUACCUUACACGCCUGACGGGAAAUCAGUUGGUUGUCGGCUAACGUCGGAGAUCCCCAAGAUAAAGUGACGAAGGAGAGACUUUGGCCGCCCCCCAGUCCAAAGCAGAGCGCGCGCCGUCGCAGAAGGAAGAGGGGCUCUGUCCCUCAAUCGGUUGCCAUCGCCGUCGCCGUCGCAGUCACCGUCCCUACCGCCGUCGCCGUUGCAGUCGUCGUCCCUGCCGCCGUCGCCGUUGCACCUCCAAGCCAACCAAGAGGAGACACGAGACGAGAGGAGAGGGCCAGAGUCGAGACAGAAUAAAACCUAGAGUCGGGACCGACGGGACGGGAGAGAAUAAACCGAACCGAUAAGAGAGAUUUUAUCGGUUCAUGGUUCGGUUCGGUUCGGUUAACCGAUAAAAACCGAACCGAUAAAAGAGAUUUCGGUUUUUAACGAGAACCGAACCAAAAACCGAACCGAACCGAAAAAACCGAUUUUUUCGGUUCGGUUCGGUUCGGUUUUCGGUUCAGUUCUUGACACCCCUAAUGGAGACAUCAACGGGAGACGUUUCUAACUCUACGACGGUCACCUUUAUAUGCCGUCAAAUGAGCCUAUAUUCUUAGUCGAGACGAUAUGAUUGAAGAGCACUAGCCUAACCUCUAGAGUGUACCUGUUGUUGAGGCCCUUCUAACCUCUAGAGUAUCAAUCGAUUCGCAAUUAUCAUUGUGGCAAAGCUUCUGUGCAACUUGUGUGAUGAUAUGUAUCCUCGUAUCAUCAUCGCAGCUCUUGUCAAUAGAGCUAAUAGCAAUAUUUGUUGAGUCUGGGAUACCUGGAGUGUCAAAACUCAGCACAAAAAAAAUUACAUAAGUGCCAAAAGUUAGGAAAGUAAUACUUAAGUGUUAAAAUCGGAGUAAAAUAAAUCAGUUAAGAAAUCUUACCAAAACACUGAAGUGGAGAUUUUUCGGCAAGCCAAGCACAAACAACGUCAUUUUGCACGUUGAUGUGGGUAAAUAAUCAAUAUAAAAAUUAAAUAAAUUUAAUUUAAAAUCAAUUUUUAAAAAAAAUGGAAGAUGAAGGUAGUUAGUGGUGAGGGCUCAGCCCUUGUCGCCGCUGCCUCCCAGCCGUCACCAGAAAGGUGUGGGGAGGGUCAGUCAGAGUCACUUAGCCCUGGCCAGGGGCCGGCGACCCCUGCCUAUUCUCCCCUCACCUUUCUAGCGAUGAUAGGGAGGCAACAACAGCAGUUGGUUACCUCCAUCUUUCUUUCUUUUUUUUAAAGAAAAAAUUGAUUUUAAAUUAAAUUAAAUUAAAUUUUUAUAUUAAAAUAUGAAUUGUGCCAAAACAACGUGAUUUUUGUAUUUCUUUGCUAAGUCAGCAUUACGACAAAUUAUGUAAGCCAACAAAAUUAAUAAAAAAUUAUCACGUAAGAUUUCCGGUGGGAUUUGCUAAAUGUGGCACCAAAGUAUCCAUUUUUUCAAAAAAAAGUGACAGUUAAGUGUAACUUUACUAAUUUUUAAUACUUAAAUGUCAUCUCAUGCCAAGUUUUGGCACUUAUGGUGUUCUUUUGCCAAUAUUUAUUCUUGAACUAACAUCAUGUGCAGGCUCAAUCUUCCUAACCAGCACGAAAUGUGAAAGUCGACGUAGGUAUCGCAACUUGCGACUGCUCCGAAGAUCAUCCUUUUGCUCAAUCGAUUUCGGAAAGGGCUUUGUGCCCGACGCGGGAAACUAUUGGGUGAGCGCACAUACCACGCCUCAUCAGCUAACAAGCUGUUAUCAAACUUGAUUGAAUGAUCUCAUCCAUUGGACGUCUACAAAACGGAGAAAUUCUCUAAGUUCAGUCAUAUUAAACAAUCCCGACAUGCUGUUUACUUGGUUUGGUAUAAAGCAUUGCAGUCAAAGAUGGGAGUCCGUUCAAUGAGGGUUCAUCUUACUCCUCGAUUUCACGGAUACUUGGCUGAUGCAUGAGUCGUCUGGUUUUCCAUGCAGAAUUCUUUCUGUUUUUUUACAUCCUAACUUUUAUAUUAAAAGACCAAAUUUCAUCUCACCUCAUAUUAUCAAAUUCUCUCAACAUAUGCACAUGAAAAUUGGAAAUGCUUUUCCGAAUUGAAGAAAUAUGUUUCAUAAGGACAACAGAGCAAUGUGUCUUGUGAACAAACAUCAUCAUUGGAUUGGACGUAACGGUUAAUUUCCAACCGACAUAUUGCCCAAAAAGUUAACAUUCAUUAAAAAGAAAUUCUACUAAUGUUUAAUCACAACUUUUCAUGAAUUUCGAGUUUCGACAUUAUUGUAGGCUUUUUAGAUCUAGGUAAACUACUUCUAAGCACCAUCUCACUGCAUCAUCACUGACGUUCUAGCAAAGUGCUGCCACGAAUGUGCAUUUCAACCGCUAGAUCUAGUAAACAAGAUUUUUAUACAUAAGAGUUCCAUACCUUUAACGGUCAAAGCGUUCGGAUUUGUGACUCAUGGUGGCUUUAUGAUGCCUAAGUUAGUAGUUAUUACAGAGAGAGAGAGAGAGAGAGAGAGAGAGAGAGAGAGAGAGAGAGAGUAGUUGCGGGUUGGGUGGCAAUUAUGCUAACCUCGGUGGAUGAACGGGCUCUCGGUCUUUGGGUAACGAUUCUACCGUCAUCUCCUGUAAUGAGCUUAGCUUCUUUAGGGAGAACGUUUCAACCAAGGUCACGCCGGCCGCCUUCAACUGGCCUGCAUGUCAUGUCCGACGGCGGCUGUUUUCCUCUCCGGCAUGUCCAGGACACGUGUCGAUCGCUCGUAGGUAUUGUUAAAUCUGUCGUUAAUCAUCACACCUAAUGUAGAUCCACAGAUAUGAAAGCCUGUAAGAACUAUGCGCGACGAAAACUUGAGUCGCUGUUGGAAAAUAAAUGGUGCCCAUUGACUAGUAGUAGAAGUCUAUGGCGAGCUCACCGUCUUCUUCGUCAACUGGAUCGGAACUAGGAAAGGGAUUAUGGUCAAAACUGAAGGCUUUUUGUGAAGACAAUAACGUGGAAAAUUUCCAGGAAAUGUGAUGAAUGGACCGCUUUUCCUUAUACCUUGUUUUUAUAUGUGUGUUCCAACGUUACGUGUAUUUAUGAGAAUUUAUUAACUGGAAAAGUUCAAAAUUUGCCAACUCACAUGCUUUGAAAUUUGACCGACCAAAAAAAAAAAAAAAAACAUACUUUGAAAUUUCUGAUAUCCAAAACUUCGGAAAUUUUGGUCAUGAUCCAAUAUUUAUAUGUAAAUUUACAUAUUACAUUUUCAUAAUUUCUGGAAAUCUUAAUAAUAUAUUUCAAAUUUUGGCAAUGUUUGCACGUUCUCUGUCUUUUUUUUCUGGAAGAAUUUGCCGCCCUUUAGGAGCUUUAUCCAGAUAUUCCCCUUGGGUUUAUGCAGUAAUAGUAUUGCAAAAAAAGUUUAUUCGGAGUUAUUUGACUAUGCUGCAAGGUAAAUAAUCUUAAGUAGAAGCUUUAAUUAGUACGUAUCUUCUAUUGGUGUAUGGUAUUAUUUAUGCAAAAUUACAAUUCUUCGCAUUAAAGCGUCAGGCAUGACACUUAAAAUAGAUGAGACAGCGUGUGGAUGUUUUCCUUUUAAGGACAAUAAAUAAACUAGGACCGAUCUUGAUGAGGUAUAAUUUUGGCCACUUGAUAGUUGGACUCUUAUGUCACACGGUACAAACCACUUGCAAUGACUUUGGACUCUUAUGUAUCUGAUAGUGAUACAUAGUAGUGACCUUUAUGGUCUUGGAUUUAGAACAUAUCCUGUCGUCCAUGAGAACAAGGGAGCUUGUUUAUUAAAGAUAGAAAAUCUCCAUGGGAUGAUCAACUUAACAUAAUCAAAUUCAUGAUUUGUCACUUUAAACCCGAGAGAAAAACUUUAUAAAUAGCCACCUAAUGGAAAGCAAAACGUGCCAAGCCAGAGCUACCAAAUACCUCUCCAAUAUUCAUAAUGAGGAAGGCCUUUCUUCUUGCUUGCGCUCUUUUGAUGUUGUUCGCUCUUCUCUUCCUUCCUUCCACCGAAGCUCGAGCACUCCUUCAAAAAGGUGAACUCAACAUCUCUCUCUCUCUCUCUCUCUUCAUUAUUUCAAAUCGAUGUGUAUUAGCUGAAGAAAUAUAAUGAAUCAUCAACAUGAUAAUGUAAACAGGACCGUUAGACCAGCCGCAGCCAGGAUGCGGACGACAACCUGGGGGCAGGUAUACACCGUGCCCAGUGAAACCAUCUCCGCCAACGAAGUGUGGUCUUUAUGUUCGUCAAUGCCGUCCGCCAGUUAUCCCCAAAGGGCCAUGAAUCCAGGGAGCUAAGUUAAGCUGCUCAUGACAGCAAAAUUGCACCAUAAUAUGAAGUACUUUCACGACACUGUCAUCGUGAAUAAAUAAAGAAGCUGAGUGAAGUCAGUCACUUGAUGAAGCCUUGUUUCAAUACCUAAAAACGAAUUAAGGAUGAAUACUAUGUAGAGGAUGCAACUUAAUGUAUGAAACAAUAAAGGAAUGAAUGAAUCGUCCAGUUUAUGGUAUGUAUCUUUUGAAAGGAAAAGGGAACAGCGACAGAGCUUGUCACAGGCU